UCAGGCGAUACCUUCUAUGUUCAGUGCGAGAGACGAGAAAAACUUUUCUCUUUUCUUCAUUGAACCUUUUCUUCAUCAAAUCUGCUUAGAUUCUAGAAAUUCUAGUCUCCGUUUCAACAAAUCAAAACCCAGGUUCUAGAAAUCUUAUAACCGAUUCAUUAGUUGAAAUCUUCCUAAACCCUAAUUCUAGAAAAUCAAUUUUUUCCCAGAAAUCUAAAAUUAAAUCAUUCAAUGGGAUUAUCAACAGAAGUUUGUGGAUUAUCAUCAGCUUGGAUCAACUGCAAUUGGGUUAAAGACUAAAGGAGUAGUUCUUGCUGUCGAGAAGCGUAUCACUUCACCAUUGCUGAGGAGAAAGUAGGAUCUGAUUGUUACUGGACCGUUCCCGUCAGAGUCGUUCGUGGACUGAAGUGUCCUAGCAGCUACGGAUUUCCUUUUUCUUAAUGUAUAGAUGGAACUUAUUUCUAAAGUACGGAACCCAUUUAUUGUGGAGUACAAAGACUCCUGGGUAUAGGGUUGCUACGUGUGUAUCAUCAUUGGUUAUUGUGAGGGAGGAGACAUGGGUGAAGAUAUAAAAAGAGCUAACGGUGUCCACUUUUCUGAAGAGAAACUCUGUAAGUGGCUUGUGCAACUCCUAAUGGCUCUGGAUUACUUUCACAGAAAUCAUGUUCUUCAUCGUGAUGUCAAGUGCUCGAAUAUAUUCUUGACGAAGGAUUAGGACAUACGUCUAGGUCGCGGGAACUCCCAGCUAUAUGUGCCCUGAGCUUCUUGCUGAUAUUCCUUACGGUUCAAAGUCAGAUAUUUGGUAUUUAGGUAAACAAUCCUUUAAUAUUAGUUUGAUUGUAAACGUUGCCGUUAGUCAUAUAAAGCAGACCUAGUGUUUGGAAUGCUAAAGACUUCUCCGAAUAUAACAAUAUAAGGUUAGGGUUUUCAUAGUUUGAAAUUCAGAAACUUGCGUUUAUAACAUUUGGAAUUUUGCAUAAGUUGUUUAAUAUUG